rnacentral:tRNA from 1 species
GCUCGGCUCUACUAAGGGUUAGGUAAUCAGAUUCUCAAUCUGAAAAUAGGGGUUCAAAUCCCCUGCCGAGUAC